GCAUAACGCGAAGAACCUUACCAAGGCUUGACAUGCAUCUCUAAGCGCGUGAAAGCGCGUGACCCUUCGGGGGAUUUGCACAGGUGCUGCAUGGCCGUCGUCAGCUCGUGUCGUGAGAUGUUGGGUUAAGUCCCGCAACGAGCGCAACCCUUGUGACUAGUUGCCAGCACGUUAUGGUGGGAACUCUAGUCAGACUGCCCAGAUCAACUGGGAGGAAGGUGGGGACGACGUCAGGUCAGUAUGGCCCUUACGCCUUGGGCUGCACACGUACUACAAUGCCCAGCACAAUGAGAACCGAGGCCGCGAGGUGGAGGAAAUCUAAAAAAUUGGGCCCAGUUCGGAUUGGAGGCUGCAACUCGCCUCCAUGAAGUUGGAAUCGCUAGUAAUGGCGCAUCAUCUACGGCGCCGUGAAUACGUUCCCGGGUCUUGUACACACCG
rnacentral:rRNA from 1 species